UUAGAGUUUGAUUCUGGCUCAGGAUGAACGCUAGCGGCAGGCUUAACACAUGCAAGUCGAGGGGCAGCAGGGAGUAGCAAUACUCUGCUGGCGACCGGCGCACGGGUGCGUAACGCGUAUGCAACCUACCUUAAACAGGGGAAUAACUCAGGGAAACUUGAACUAAUGCCCCAUAUUCUUGCGGGAUCGCAUGGUCUUGCAAGGAAAGCCUUGGUGGUUUUAGAUGGGCAUGCGUGACAUUAGGUAGUUGGCGGGGCAACGGCCCACCAAGCCGACGAUGUCUAGGGGAGCUGAGAGGCUUAUCCCCCACACUGGUACUGAGACACGGACCAGACUCCUACGGGAGGCAGCAGUGAGGAAUAUUGGUCAAUGGACGGAAGUCUGAACCAGCCAUGCCGCGUGAAGGAAGAAUGCCCUAUGGGUUGUAAACUUCUUUUGUUCGAGAGUAAUAAGCGGGAUGCGUCCCGUGAUGAGAGUAUCGGACGAAUAAGCAUCGGCUAACUCCGUGCCAGCAGCCGCGGUAAUACGGAGGAUGCAAGCGUUAUCCGGAUUUAUUGGGUUUAAAGGGUGCGUAGGCGGACGACUAAGUCAGCGGUGAAAAUAUCCCGGCUCAACCCGGGAGGCUGCCGUUGAUACUGGUCGCCUUGAGUACGAACGGCGCCGGCGGAAUAUGUAAAGUAGCGGUGAAAUGCAUAGAUAUUACAUAGAACACCGAUCGCGAAGGCAGCUGGCGAGGACGUCACUGACGCUGAGGCACGAAGGCGUGGGGAUCAAACAGGAUUAGAUACCCUGGUAGUCCACGCAGUAAACGAUGAUAACUUGUGGUCGGGCGGAAGGACAGUCGGUGACAAAGCGAAAACGAUAAGGUUAUCCACCUGGGGAGUACGAUCGCAAGGUGGAAACUCAAAGGAAUGGACGGGGCCGGCACAAGCGGAGGAGCAUGUGGUUUAAUUCGAUGAUAGGCGAGGGAACCUUACCUAGACUCAAAUGUUGAGCGGCCGACCCAGAAAUGGGUCUUUCCUUCGGGACGCUUAGCAAGGUGCUGCAUGGUUGUCGUCAGCUCGUGCCGUGAGGUGUCAGGCUAAGUCCUAUAACGAGCGCAACCCCUACGUCCAGUUGCCAGCGGGUAGAGCCGGGGACUCUGGACGGACUGCCGGCGCAAGCCGAGAGGAAGGUGGGGAUGACGUCAAAUCAGCACGGCCCUUACGUCUAGGGCGACACACGUGCUACAAUGGCCGGUACAGAGGGCAGCUACGCCGCGAGGCGAUGCGAAUCUCGAAAAGCCAUCCCAGUUCGGAUGGGAGUCUGCAACUCGACUCCGUGAAGUUGGAUUCGCUAGUAAUCGCGCAUCAGCCAUGGCGGGG
rnacentral:rRNA from 1 species